rnacentral:rRNA from 1 species
GACAGAGGUGCCGAGCGUUAGGCGGAAUCACUGGGCUUAAAGCGUGUGUAGGCGGGCCGUUAAGUGCCCCGUGAAAUCCCCCGGCUCAACCGGGGAACGGCGGGGCAUACUGGCGGCCUUGAGCCACUUAAGGGCAGACGGAACAAGCGGUGGAGCGGUGAAAUGCGUAGAUAUCGCUUGGAACGCCGAUGGCGAAGGCAGGUCUCUGGGCCACUACUGACGCUGAGAAGCGAAAGCAUGGGGAGCGAACAGG